rnacentral:tRNA from 1 species
GCGGACGUGGCGGAAUAGGCAGACGCAUCAGACUUAAAAUCUGACAAGAGACAAUCUUGUGUGGGUUCGAUUCCCACCGUCCGCA